UGAAAUAACCCAUUGGUUCUCCUAAUUCCCUACCCUCUUUCCCCUUUGAACGUACCCAUCAGAAGGCCAAAACCAUACCCCCGUAUAACCUCCAUCGUCUCUGCCACUAUCCUGCCGUCAACCUCCGUCGCAUCUGCCACUAUCUCGCCGUCAACCUCUGUCAACACCAGCAGAACCUCAAUUUUCUUUUUCGUUCACCUAUAAACUUUUAUCUCCUCCACCACAAACAACAACAAUUCGAUUAAUCCAAGCUCCAUGUUUUCAAAUAGUCCCAAAAUUCUAGGGUUUUUUUCUCGAUUAAGCUCGACUACCACUUCUUGUUCUCUCUGAGCCCUAAUUCUAGAUUCCAUUAGCGAGGAAGAAAUUGCAACUGAUAGCUGUGGGAUAAAUAUUGUGGAGUCGAUCAAGAAAUGCAAGAUGAAGGCAGUGAAGAUCUAGACCUUACUUAAGAUGAAUUUUGAAUUGCUAUAGAUGACUGUUCUAGGAAUCUUUUGUUAUCAACAUUUCGAAACUUACUCUCUUGAAUUGUAUUAAACUUAUGCACUUGGGGUAGAACAUUUGCUUUAUGGAUAUUAUUAGCUUGUUGGACAAUUUAUAUUAUUAAUAGUUUCAUUUUUUGAUUUA